rnacentral:rRNA from 1 species
UACGGAGGGUGCAAGCGUUAUCCGGAUUCACUGGGUUAAAGGGUGCGUAGGUGGGUAAGUAAGUCAGUGGUGAAAUCUCCGGGCUUAACCCGGAAACUGCCAUUGAUACUAUUUGUCUUGAAUACUGUGGAGGUCAGCGGAAUAUGUCAUGUAGCGGUGAAAUGCUUAGAUAUGACAUAGAACACCAAUUGCGAAGGCAGCUGGCUACACAAAUAUUGACACUGAGGCACGAAAGCGUGGGGAUCAAACAGG